rnacentral:rRNA from 1 species
UACGUAGGUGGCGAGCGUUAUCCGGAAUUAUUGGGCGUAAAGCGCGUGUAGGCGGCUUGGCAAGUCGGAUGUGAAAGCCCACGGCUCAACCGUGGAAGCGCAUCCGAAACUGCUUCGCUCGAGUCUCGGAGAGGAAGGUGGAAUGCUUGGUGUAGAGGUGAAAUUCGUAGAUAUCAAGCGGAACACCGGUGGCGAAGGCGGCCUCUGGACAGUGACUGACGC